rnacentral:rRNA from 1 species
GCGCAAGUCGUUGGGUGUUUUGUAUACCCGAAGGCGUUGUGAAAGCGAGAGAUUUGCCUCGGGUGAAUCGUUUGGCGGGAUCUUCGCUUGCCGUACAGCUUUGUGCGGUAGGUGAGGCGCACCGCCGGCCCGCUUUAGUACCACGUGUCGUAAGCGGAGUUUUAGCGUGCAAUUUGAGACCCGAAAGAUGGUGAACUAUGCCUGAGCAGGAUGAAGCCAGGGGAAACUCUGGUGGAAGUCCGUAGCGAUUCUGACGUGCAAAUCGAUCGUCUGACUUGGGUAUAGGGGCGAAAGACUAAUCGAACCGUCUAAUAGCUGGUUCCCUCCGAAGUUUCCCUCAGGAUAGCUGGCGCUCGUGUGAAAAAUCACGGCAGUGUCUCCCGGUAAAGCGAAUGAUUAGAGGUCUUGGGGACGAAACGUCCUCAACCUAUUCUCAAACUUUAAAUGGGUGAGAAGUGCGGUUUACUUAAUUUUGAAGUCCGCACACGCCUCGCGCACGCAUGUCUGAGUGCCAAGUGGGCCAUUUUUGGUAAGCAGAACUGGCGCUGUGGGAUGAACCGAACGCUAAGUUAAGGCGCCCGAGUGUGACGCUCAUAAAACCCCACAAAAGGUGUUGGUUGCUAUAGACAGCAG